UCAGGCUGCCCUCUGAAUGAGACACAAUACUUGUACCUCUGAGAAUGGUCUGCAGGUGCAGAGGACAGCCUCUCCAGUUAAGGCUGUUUGUGCAGCUGCUGGCUCUGACAUCCUUUUCCUGCUCCACCACAGCCCAUGAUGAUUGAUGAACUGUAUGAGCUGGUGGUGGAUGCCAUCUUUGGCUUCAGCUUCAAGGGUGAUGUUCGGGAACCGUUCCACAGCAUCCUGAGUGUCCUGAAGGGACUCACUGUGCCCAUUGCCAGCAUCGACAUUCCCUCAGGAUGGGACGUGGAGAAGGGAAACUCUGGAGGGAUCCAGCCAGACUUGCUCAUCUCCCUCACAGCCCCCAAAAAAUCUGCAACCCAGUUUACCGGUCGCUACCAUUACCUGGGGGGUCGUUUUGUGCCACCUGCUCUGGAAAAGAAGUACCAGCUGAACCUGCCACCCUACCCUGACACCGAGUGUGUCUAUCAUCUGCAGUGAGGGAAGGUGGGUGGGUAUUCUUCCCAGUAAAGACUUAGAGCCCCU
rnacentral:sRNA from 1 species